rnacentral:rRNA from 1 species
ACGAAGGGGGCUAGCGUUGUUCGGAAUUACUGGGCGUAAAGCGCGCGCAGGCGGCUAUCCAAGUCAGUGGUGAAAGCCCGGAGCUCAACUCCAGAACUGCCUUUGAUACUGGCGAUCUCGAGUCCGGGAGAGGUGAGUGGAACUCCGAGUGUAGAGGUGAAAUUCGUAGAUAUUCGGAAGAACACCAGUGGCGAAGGCGGCUCACUGGCCCGGUACUGACGCUGAGGUGCGAAAGCGUGGGGAGCAAACAGGA